ensembl:lncRNA
GAAGAAUUUUCCCCUCACAUUUUGUGCCUGCUUAGCUACCUAGACAGAGCAGCUAUCCAUGGCUCCAAUCCUUGAAUGGAUUCUUCCAAGAGAUUGAGAAGUAUGGCAGGGAGGCCUUGACUGACAGGGUUUCAAGAAAAGAGCCUGCAAAAUUAUUUUGGAGCAAAGCAUUUUAGUCUUCUCUAUAAGGCCAGUAUCCAUGGAUUCUCUGAAGAAAACGUUUUAGAGAUGCUACACCUAAGGACCAACUAUAACAGUGGUAUACAAUACAAUCAUGUUACUGGCAUCUACAUGUAAGAGAGUUACCAGCAAGAGAAGGCAGAGUACGUCAUGGUCUUUGCACUUCAAGAGACUGAAAUCUCCACGUGUAAAACAGGAUUACACUUACCAUUUGAAUUGUUUUUGGACUUUAAGACAAGAUUUCUGUUUUUACUUGAAUUCAUGCUAGAUCUACACCACAAAAAUGUGCCUGUGAGCACUAAUAAAUGUGAAAAACUUCAAAUUUCUGGGGUUUAUAGUGGUUCCAUUCAAGAGUGUGAAGUUUUUCAUUGUGAAGGUAGAUUUCCCAGAAUCAGAUAAUGCUACAGAGAGUGCUUCCCUGAAUGUUUGCUGGCUUUGAGCUAAACCAUCUCUUCUCAGGAAAAGUGACUUUUUUCUUCACCUUAUCUCUGGAUAGAUGGCCCACAUUGAAACCUGACCUCAAAUUGUCUCUACAGGCAGUCCAUAGAACACUUGGAAUUUGCUUUUUCUGACAUUUUUGUAGUCAGCAAUUAUGUCUCAGAGCGGGCACCGGAUCCUGAAAAAGACAUUCUGACUCUCUCUGCUGCGAGACAGACACUGUGGGCUGCAGAUGACUUUGAAGAGGGCUCCGCCACUCAAUACCAGCCUGAAGAAUAAUUGAAUUAUCAAGUGUGCAAAAGAAGAAAAUAAAUAUGUGAACUCUCAACAUAUUAAUUUUUGUCUCACCAUAGAACAAUGAAACAGAGAAAGGAGAAAACACUGGAAGAGAAUUGGCUAAGAUUACAGGGAUAUAUUUUAUUUAUGUCAAGGAUGAAGAUGCAUAUACAAAAGCACACUAUUUCUAACACCCAGGAACAACAUGAUUUGCAUAGAUCCUUACAUGAAAUUUCAGGAAGAAAUGGACCUCAUUUAUUGGACUACUGCAAAGAUGAAUUGGCCACAGAAGACAGUAAAUCUCAUUUUGGAAAAGUUAUCCUUACUAUUGAAGGCUUCUAUCAAUAUCUAUAAAACAAGAAAGUAAUUUUGAAUAAAGAAGGAAUAAAAUAGUGGAAAAAUAAUAUAAAAACACUUGUAUAUUCAUGUUAAAAAUACUCUGCAGAGAGAAUUCCAACUCCUUACAUAUUGAUGUAGAUCUCGGUGGUCUUCAGUGUUUUAGUGUUUCUGUUUCUGUGUAUCAAGUAUUCUUGAAAUUGCUUUAAUAAGAAUUAUAUUACCCCAGGGAUAGGUAGAAAUUAUAUAUUGACAAGUUCAGCAUGGGAAAUGUUCCUUCCACUAAUUUUAGAAUCUAUAGAGGAAUUACCCAUUGGUCAAUUUUCUUAGAGAAGGAUACAGAAUUCAAAAUAAGCGAGAAUUUUCUCAGGAGACUUGAAGCAGACCAGUUACAUGUUGUUGGUAAUGAGGAAACAGAAUUGCUGAGAUGUAAUAAGCUCAGAGUUUGAGGGUGAUGGGGACAGAGGAGGCACAUGACUAGCUGUGUGUUAAAGAUAAAGGCCUUCUGGAGAAGAUGGCUUCCUUGUCUAAGGUUAUCCACAGAUACUCAGUCUUAUCUGUCAUGACUAUACACAUCCUGAAUGUGACAAAAAUAAACAAAGCAAACAAACAAAGCAGUCACUAAGCAAGUUCUCAUUGACUGAGCAUCAUGUUCUGUGCUCUAAUGCAAUCUUGCUCCAUGCCUCAACACAGCAAACUCAGCAUCUUCUUAUGAGCUUAUCAAGGUUCAAGCAAUCACUAUUGCACAACACCAGAAAAAACUGGAACACUGUUGUAUGCUUUAUAGCCUGAGGUUAUUUCAUAAUGUUAAUGGGUAAGUCUAUAACUUUUUUGUGGGCCAACUAACUGUUGUAUCAAGCUUUUUGUCUUUUACUGGUUUAGGUAGUAGUCCAUCCGGAAUUGACUUUUGUUUAUAGUGUGAAGAAGGAAUUCAGGAAAGAUGUGAGGUAUUUAGAUAUCAUUUUCAUUUGACUAAUUUUGAAGAGUAAUAAACAUUCUAGGAUAGGAUUAUACUGUAGUUCAAUUUUCAUAUAUGAUUUAAAAAUAAGAAGCAACAUCACGAAGAAGUUAUUUUUAUCCUAAAAUUUACAUAGUAGUGUAAAGGAUUAAAGCUAACCAAGACAUUCUUGAAGAACAAUAAAGUAGAAAAAUAGACAUGUAUCAGAGACCCCUGCAGCAGAUCCCAUCUUCUGCUUGGUGUUACAAUGCAUGAUGAGAAGACUUAGAGACAGAAUUAGAGAAACAGAGACAGGGAACUGGGAUGAUCAGCUCUUGUGCAAGCAAAGGCUUGAGAAAGCCAUAGCCCUGGCCAGCCAAAACAAUCAAUAUUUAUUGGUGACACAAUCAUUGGUUAAAUUGGGGUGAGGGGACUAUGUGUGGUUGCUAUAGAUGUGUUGCUGAGGCAGGCAAGGCUUGUAAAAGAAGAGACAAAGCAUUCUUGUGUUAGUUUGGGAAUGGUAUUUGGGUAAGAGUCACUUUGACCUCACUGUGUGUUAUCUCAUAGGCUUUGGUCAGACUUACUUCUUCAACUAAGCCAAUUGUGGGGUUAAUUCUUUACAGCCUGCAUUGUUUGCAGCAUUCUUUGUGCAGAAUCAAUGGGGCGGUUUGCCACAGGUGUGGAAAGAUAUAUGAAUGAAGAGAAUGUUAAUUGGUUUGUACUAAUAAAUCAGUGGAAAUGAACAGACUCAGGCACAUUUGGACAUUUGCUAUAUGAUAAGGAUAGUGUUGCAGAUGAGUAGAAAACAGUAAACUAUUCAUAGGUGGUGCUAAGUCUAUUGAUCACUCUCAUGGAAAAAUGAACUGAAUCCCUUCC